rnacentral:lncRNA from 1 species
GUCCUCUCCCCCCUCUUAUUUAACAUUUACAUGAAACCGCUGGGUGAGAUCAUCCGUGGUUUUGGGGUGAGGUAUCAUCAAUAUGCGGAUGAUACUCAACUGUAUAUCUCCACCCCAAACCAGAUCAGUGAUGCCCUCUCCGUGAUGACUCGCUGUCUGGAUGCGGUACGAAUCUGGAUGGACGGCAACAUGCUUCGACUCAACCCGGCCAAGACUGAGUGGUUGUACAUACCGGCAUCCCGUUCCAGUUUAGAAUGUCCAUCGUUGACCAUAGGGGGAGUGGUGUUGCCCCCUGUGGAUAGGGCGAGAAACCUGGGGGUCCUCCUGGAUGCACGGCUCCGGUUGGAGGAGCAGGUGGGAGCCGUCGCCAGGGGGGCCUUUGCCCAGGUUCGGCUGGUUCGCCAGCUUCGCCCGUUCCUGGACCGGGAUGCCCUGCGUACGGUCACUCAUGCCCUUGUUACCUCGCGACUCGACUAUUGCAACGCUCUCUAUUUAGGACUGCCCUUGCAUACCAUCCGGAGACUGCAGCUGGUGCAAAAUGCGGCGGCGCGGGCGGUGAUGGGAGUUUCCCGGUUCUCCCAUGUUAGCCCCCUCCUACGCUGCCUGCAUUGGUUGCCGGUUGCUCUCCGGGUGAGAUUCAAGGUUUUAACUUUAACAUACAAAGUCCUACAUGACAUGGGUCCUUAUUAUUUAAGGGAGAGGCUGCUGCCGACAUCGAAUACUAACCGCCCUGUACGAAGUCACAGACAGGGACUCCUUGGGGUCCCAUCAGCCGGGCAAUGCCGGCUGGCGGUCCCCGACGACGUGCCUACUCUGUCGCGGUCCCUGAACUCUGGAACCAACUUCCCCUGGGGCUCCGCUUGGCCCCUGACCUCCGCACCUUCCGCCAUGAUUUGAAGACCUGGUUAUUUGACCAAGCCGGGCUGUGACUCAGGGGUGGGGUGUCUUAGAUUUUGUGGUUUUUAAGUUUGUAUUAAUUGGGACCAUUAAUUUAAUUCUUUUUUAAAUAUUUAUUGUGUUUGUUUUAUUGUAAGCCGCCCCGAGUCUUCGGAGAUGGGGCGGCAUAUAAGUCCCAUUAAUAAAUAAAUAAAUAAUAAAUUGGGAAAAAAGUGACUUGCAGC